GGAGAAUCUUAGAUUUUCUUAAUGUUCUGUAGAAUAUCCAGCAAUGCAGCAACAGGGAUGUUGAUGCAAACAAAAGCCGGGGCAUGGACGCCACGUCUUUUGUGGUUGCUGGAGAAGAAAAGAAUCUGACAGAACAUUUAGAAAAUGUUAGAUUCGUA
rnacentral:ncRNA from 1 species